rnacentral:rRNA from 1 species
AGAGUUUGAUCCUGGCUCAGGACGAACGCUGGCGGCGUGCCUAAUACAUGCGAGUCGGACGAACCAGGAAAGGAACUUGUUCCUUUCCUUGGUUAGUGGCAGACGGGUGAGUAACACGUGGAGAACCUACCUUUCAGCGGGGGAUAACCAUUGGAAACGAUGACAAAUACCGCAUAGGACUUUGAGUCACCUGACUUAAAGAGGAAAGACGGCUUCGGCUGUCACUGAAAGAUGGCUCCGCGGUGCAUUAGCUAGAUGGUAAGGUAACGGCUUACCAUGGCCAUGAUGCAUAGCCGACCUGAGAGGGUGAUCGGCCACAUUGGGACUGAGACACGGCCCAAACUCCUACGGGAGGCAGCAGUAGGGAAUCUUCCGCAAUGGACGCAAGUCUGACGGAGCAACGCCGCGUGUGUGAAGAAGGUCUUCGGAUCGUAAAGCACUGUUGUUAGAGAAGAACACCCGGUAGAGUAACUGUUACCGGCAUGACGGUAUCUAACCAGAAAGCCACGGCUAACUACGUGCCAGCAGCCGCGGUAAUACGUAGGUGGCAAGCGUUGUCCGGAUUUAUUGGGCGUAAAGGGAGCGCAGGUGGUGACUUAAGUCUGAUGUGAAAGCCCACGGCUCAACCGUGGAGGGUCAUUGGAAACUGGGUCACUUGAGUACAGAAGAGGAAAGUGGAAUUCCAUGUGUAGCGGUGAAAUGCGUAGAUAUAUGGAGGAACACCAGUGGCGAAGGCGACUUUCUGGUCUGUGACUGACACUGAGGCUCGAAAGCGUGGGGAGCAAACAGGAUUAGAUACCCUGGUAGUCCACGCCG